rnacentral:lncRNA from 1 species
GCUAGGCAAAAACUAUACUAUUGAGCUAUAUCCUCAGCCCAUUUUAUUUUUUAUUUUGAGGCAGUGUCUCACUAAGAUACUGAAUCUGGCUUCAAACUUUUGAUCCUCCUGCCUCAGUCUCCCAAGUUGCUAGGAUUAUAGGAAUGUGCCACCAUGCUCAGCCUCUAUUUCUAAAAAAAAAAAAAAAAAAAAGAUCCCUCUUCCAGGCCUCUCAACUUUAGUCUCUGGGGGAAAGAGAAUUACCAGUCCAGGAGACUUUUUUUCCUUCUAUGUUCUUCAAUGUCUUCUCUACGAAAAUGACUGCUUUAUUCUGAUCAGGUGGUAUCUGCAUCUCACAGGUGAUUGUUUUUGGUCUCUUAUAUCCAUCAUCACUCCUCCACAUCCUGUCGCAUGUAUAAGUAUACAUUUAUUCACUCUGCUUUUGGUAAUAUACCUGUUUACACUCCCAUCUGGGUGUAUGCAUUAUUUUAUUAAUUUAAUUUUACCAAAGAAAAGAAUGGAGCAUGAUGUCCUCUGUUAAACCAGUUUCUCUUCCCGAGUAUUUUUCUUUUUCUAGUUGUGGAUGAACACAAUACCUUUAUUUUACUUGUUUAUUUUUAUGUAGUGCUGAGAAUAAACCCAGCGCCUCAUGCAUGCUAGGCAAGCAUUCUACCAGUGAGCUACAGCCCCAGCCCCUGAGUUUCUUAAAUUUAAAUGCCACUACCUGAGAAACUAGUGGUUUAGGCAUCAGUUUUAUUUAUCACACUAUGGUAGUCAGUAUGGGACUAGUAGACUAGUCCCUAAGAGGUUGGCUAGAUUUAUGUGACUUGUAUUUUGUUAGUAUAGUACUAUAAAAAAUGUAGUUGGCCUUUUAUCUCUGAUUUUAGGGCAGUUUCAUGUGCUAAUACCUGCCCUUUUCUAGAUUUUUUUUUUUUUUUGGUACUGGAACACACUGUAACUCUACCAUUAAGCUGUAUCCCAAACUCCUUUUAUUGAGACAAGGUCUCACCAAGUCGCCUAGGGUGCUCUUGAACUUGUGAUCCUCCUGCCUUAGCCUCCCAAAUUGCUGGGAUUAUAGGUGUUCACCGCUGCUCCUGGCCAGUAGUCUGAUGCUUUACACCUGCUGACAAAUAGCUAUUUUAAUAGUUUGUUGUCAAUGACAACAAAUAGUAACCCAUAUUCAUGUUGCUAAAAUUCUCUCUCUCCUAGAUCUACAAGCUUGCUAGAUAAAGUCACUGUAGGCUACAAUUCUACCACAUAUUUUCCUACUACAUAACAGUGUUUGUCAUCCUUCCAGCCUCCAGCAAGAUCUCUGCUGCCCUCUGUGUAAGUUAAUAUCAUACAUGUUACGGUUUUUUGUUUCAUUUUGUUUUUUGUGACUCUGGGAGUUGAACUCAGGGCCUCAUGCAUGCUAGGCAAGCUGUCUACCACUGAGCUCUGUCCCCUAGCCCUUUUUAAUUUUGAGGGUACCAGGGAUUGAACUCAGGGGCAUUCAACCACUGAGCCACAUCCCCAGCCCUAUUUUGUAUUUUAUUUAGAGACAGGAUCUCAUUGAGUUGCUUAGCUCCUAGCUUUUGCUGAGGCUGGCUUUGAACUUGUGAUCUUCCUGCGUCAGCCUCUGGAG